ensembl:lncRNA
CACUGGAGUAAUUGUGGUGGAUUUUUGUUUGAUAUGUAUAACUAUGUAACUAUAUACACUAUAUAUCUGUGCGCACUGAACAUAUAUAUUUUAACUUUCAUGUGGAGUCUUAAGCACAAGACAUUUUGCUUCACCGAGGUUUAUUAAGUUGGUACUGUAACAGGGCAGUUAAUGUAGAGGGAGAGUUCUCUUGAAUAAUUUACUUAAUAAUUAAUUAAUUUAACAUCUUUAAUGCAGCACAACCAAAACAGUAACAUUGUAACAGAGAUCCUGAACACAUAACGAUAAACUAUCAUACAAAGUACACACACACACACACACACACUUUGAACCCAAACUGAAGUGUUUUUAAGCAUGUAACCUAUGUAUUAUAUGUUAUAAGAUUGUGCCACUUGCUGAAUAAGAUUUAAUAAUUAGGAUUAAUGUCUGACCUUUGACCGUGUCAUGACCUAUUGUGAUAAGCCAGAGCAGGGGUACUCAGAGUCCUGACUGGCCUUUGGCCAAGACCUUGGCCGCUACCUGACCCCAGCAGCUGUGCUGGGCGUGUGGGAAAGUUACCCAGCAGCAGGGGGCGGCGACACUGGUCCCUAUAUUAGGGGACCAGAGGACGCCCCCAGGGCUCUUUUCCUCCUGCUGCUGCUACCUGUCCGUCUCCGUGUUGCUCUGCUGUCUGUGCUUAAGGCUGUACACCCCGGGGUUUUGCUUUGCUUGCUUUCUGCUAUGUAAUUCUCUUGCUAAAUGUUUGUAUGUAUUUUUCCUGCUGUUCAUAUGAUUCAGUGUAUUAAACUCUGUUCCAAGAAUUCUACUCUUUUACAGAGCAUCUUUUUGAGUGUCUUGAUUUUAAUUGGAUUUGGAUCUCCACAUCGUUGGUGGAAGGAGGUUAUCAAAAUUUGCGACCACAAUUGGCGACGUACGAAGGGACGAGGAAUUAAGGUGAUUGCUGGGAGCCUUGGGGAAUGCCAAAGCCUUGCACAUCAGAGAACACCAAGCGGCCGCUACAAUAAGUUAUCUUUCUGCAGAUGGAGAUGGCUUCUGGAUAACAGACGGAGAUGCAGAGGUCCUGGAGCAGGUGCUGGCGAUCUGAUGACAAGUGUGAGGGGACAACGGAGUGAAACAGGCUGCUCCAGACAGCUGAACCAUGACCCAUCCAGUAGCUGUUGAACCUGCUGCAGAGCCUACAGCCCAGGUGGAGCUGUACAGUGCCCAAACCAGCUUCCGAAUGAUGGAUGUGCAAGAUCAACUACUACCCAUCGCCGACCCUGACUUUAAUCAAGACUAGGACCAAGUCCUCUCGAGUAUUCUUAGAAGCUAUGCAAGAUCCAGCAGUCAAGAAGUACCAAGAGAGACUUUUCUCGGACUCAUAAAUUAGUUGAAAUAUGGACUGAAAAAGGGACACAAGUUGAGUAAAGGUUGAAACUGACUGCAGAGAAAUGUCAACCUUGAAGCUACCAAAGGACAUUUCAAAGCCCACACUGAGAAGUCUGUUCAGAAGAAGAAGUUGCACCUGACCAAGAUGAAAUCCAAAAUUGGGAAUUAAUUGUUUAAUUGUAUUAUUUUUAAUGUCAUUUAUGGUGUUGUGUAAUCCAUGUAUGUAUUAUGUGUCUCUGCUGAUGUGUUUUAUGCCUUACUUUCAUUUUCCUGUAAUUAGGCUGAUUUUUAAGUUUCUUGAGUAUUCUGUUUAGGAUACUGUGGAGUAUGAUUUGCAAAUGAAGGUGAAUCAAUUUGUCUUAAAUUAAUUGACUAAGAGAAAUGAAUGUUGGGAGAAUGUUAUGUUGAUGACUAUGAGGUUUUUGGUAGAAGGAAGGGCUUAUUCAUUUGAGCAACAACUGUGUGGGAUCUUUAUACAAAUUCUUAUGUUCUAUUUACAGCUUGCUUUAAAAUAUGUUAGCAAAAAAAACAGCGCACGCAUUAGUUUUCGCAAUUUUUUGUUCUUCUUUAGUUAU